rnacentral:ncRNA from 2 species
CCUAGAAUUCAAGCUGUUGGUGCUCGCGCUGCCGGUUCACGGCUCGCAGUUCAACGGGAAGCAGGAGGGACAAGCCAUCUCGGCUCACCUAACCUGCGCUGCCCCCGCAACGGUAAGCAGACGGGUCUUCAUUCACGUGAAGACUCCGCUUUCAUCUCAAACCACUGGCCGCCCUGAAACAGGCGGCUGGGAAGGUGAUGAAGGUCGCUCUGCCAGCCCGGAUACCGGCCAACAAGGUGACCUGUCG